rnacentral:rRNA from 1 species
UACGGAGGGUGCAAGCGUUUAUCGGAAUUACUGGGCGUAAAGCGUGCGCAGGCGGUUUGUUAAGUCUGUUGUGAAAUCCCCGAGCUCAACUUGGGAAUUGCAAUGGAUACUGGCAGGCUGGAGUAUGGUAGAGGAAGGUGGAAUUCCCGGUGUAGCAGUGAAAUGCGUAGAGAUGUGGAGGAAUACCGAUGGCGAAGGCAGCCUCCUGGGCCAACACUGACGCUCAUGCACGAAAGCGUGGGGAGCAAACAGG